rnacentral:tRNA from 1 species
GGUACUAACUUGCACAGUGGGUAAGGAACUGGGCUUGUAACCAAAAGGUCCUAGGUUCGAUUCCUGGGUAGGCCA